UUCCACUGAACCACACUGCUUCUCAAGGCGGGGCACAGUCAGUUUUUAUCCUGCAUCUGGCCUUUAGGUAACAGCAAAGGGAGCCCAGUUAAGGUGGCACAAAACAAUCCUCCUCCCCAGCCGCAGUGGAAAUAACAUGCUAAAAAUAAAAUUCAAUCCACAUAAUUACACCAUUGCCAUCUUCUCUGACACAGGUGUAGAAUCGUAAUGGUGUUUGUGAAGCGCUCACUACGUGCCCAGUGCUGUUCUAAGCGGCGGGGUGGAUAGCAGGUAAUCCGGUGGAACACGGUCCCUGUCCUACAGGGGGGCUGACGGUCUUAAUCCACGUUUCACAGUCGAGAUAAUUCAGGUGCAAUGAGGAGAGAAGAAAAGAGUAUCACAAGUAAUUGAUAAGUCUAUUUAAACUACAUUUUCUGCAAUGAUCAUGGCUGUUUAAACCUUUUAAUUGACUUGCAUUCACGCCAACCAAUGAAGAAACAGGAUCAGAAGCAAGACUUAAAAGGCUCGGAAGCAGGUGCUCGACAAACUGAUCCACAGGAAUACACUCUUCCCUCACGAUCGCCUGCAGUGAUUAAAAUGGAGCAUGGAGAAAA